AGGCUGACUCCGGAGCUAGAGAGGAGCACAUUCGAGCGAGAAGCUACGUGGGUGCAAACAACACUCCAGUUUCUGCCCGGGAGGAGCCGGAUCUAACAACUAGGAGUUCAAGCCCCUACCUACCGACCGACCUGUGGUCUCUGAAGUUGGACAAUGCUCCCCAACAGGUGCAAACAGAAUACCUGUUUGACCGGGCUUUGUCUCUAGGAAACUACAUACGAGGUGAUGGAAAUGCUAUUAAGAGUGAUGUGAAUUAACACAGAGACCUACAAUUGAUUCAGGGAUCUAUGUAGAAGAGGAAGCAGGGAGAUUCUAAGAGCCAGAGAUGGUGGAUGACUUCAAAGAAACAAUGUUUUCCAGCUACAACAGUAUCCAUUGCUAGGCUUUGCCUUCCUGCCCACUCAUGAACUCAGAGAUACUUGGAUGGCUCUAUAUGAAAGGCAAAAGAAAAGGAAGAGAAAGCAAGUCAAGACAGAGUUGGCACACACAUGCAACCGUUCCCUGGUGGUUCCCAUUGGAGAGAACCAAUGAUGGAAGGCCUUGGAGAAGCAGAACAGGCAGCUAUGUCCCUUAUGAAGAUGAGGAAGCCAGGGAGAAAUACAGAUAACACCUUAAAGGACAUGCUGAAUCUAGCACAAUGGAUUGGAAGGGUGAACCUCUACCAUCACUUACUGGAGAACGCAUUUGACCAAUGAGAUACUGAGCUAAUCACAAGCACUAGACAUUCCUGGAGAAGAAGGAGGGGAAGCUGCUUAGAAAAACCUGCUCAACCUAUUAUGGAGUCCUUGAAUUAUCGGAGGAUACUUCCACAGUUCCCCAGGUCCAGUGAAGUAGCGGGCAUGCAGCAUUGGCCACUCCAUUGUUGUGUUUGUCUGUCAGAAUGAUGACACCUCUCAAACCAACAAGAAAAUACAAACUUGCUUCAAUAGCAUCUUGCCUUUGUACAUUAGUAUCUUUGGACAAAAGCAAAGACAAUUAUUCAGUGAGCUGUAAAAAUGAAUAAAUAAAUACUUUGAAAAC
rnacentral:lncRNA from 1 species